UACGGAGGGUGCGAGCGUUGUCCGGAAUCAUUGGGCGUAAAGGGCGCGUAGGUGGCGGGCCAAGCGUGCGGUGAAAGCCUGGGGCUCAACCCCGGGUCGGCCGUGCGAACUGGUUUGCUUGAGCACUGUAGAGGCAGGCGGAAUUCCGGGUGUAGCAGUGUAAUGCGUAGAUAUCAAGUGGAACACCAGUGGCGAAGGCGAGUCCCUGGACAACUCCUGACACUGAGGCACGAAAGCUAGGGGAGCAAACAGG
rnacentral:rRNA from 1 species